ensembl:lncRNA
CAGAACGUUUGCUGUUCUGCAGCUGUCAGUGGCUUUUGUGUGCUGAGAGCUGAGGGAAUGUGUGAGUGAGUGUAUGUGUGUGUAAGUGAGUGAGUGAGUGAGUGAAUGUGUGUGUGAGUGUGUGAGUGAGUGAAUGUGUGUGUGAGUGUGUGAGUGAGUGAGUGAGUGAGUGUAUGUGUAUGUAAGUGAGUGAGUGAGUGAGUGAGUGAGUGAAUGUGUGUGUGAGUGAGUGAAUGUGUGUGUGAGUGUGUGAGUGAGUGAGUGAAUGUGUGUGUGAGUGAGUGAGUGAGUGAAUGUGUGUGUGAGUGUGUGAGUGAGUGAGUGAAUGUGUGUGUGAGUGAGUGUGUGAUUGAGUGAAUGUGUGUGUGAGUGUGUGAGUGAGUGAGUGAAUUGGUGUGUGAGUGUGUGAGUGAGUGAGUGAAUGUG